GUUUGGCACAUACGCAUGCAAUAAAUGUCACUUGUUAUUUUUAUUUUGCGUUUUCCAAUCACUUUAUUUUGACUUCAAUGUGGGAGAGGUGAUUAUCCAAAGAUGUGAAUUAUCCAAGGAUUGUGAUAGUCAGAAGCAGAGGAAAUAUUAGAUUUUUCUGAGUGGGAGUAGGGUUAAAGAGUCCUACCACUUGAACCAGCCCAAAGCAAGAAGCAAAUGUCCAGAAGCCUUCUCUGCUCCACAUCUGUUUUUAUUUUUCAGUUUAUCAGCCUGCUGUUUCAUGACAGGAUUUUGCAAUAUUCAGCUCCCCUGGUGACUUAUAGGAUAUCAAGGGAAGAGAGAAGAAAGAAAAGCUUUUAGCCAACUUCAGUUUUUCCUUCCUUGAAACUGAAGAUAAGCUCUGGCUGGACACCACGAGUGAUUGCAAAUUGCUGACGACUCUCUCCCACACUGAGAGAGAUCAACUCCAGAUGUUUACCUUCUCCUGGAGGAGACCGAAGCAGUGUCUCUUCUACCAGAAAAGUCACCAGAGUGAAAUAAGGAGUGACUCCAGCAGCUGUUCUCCUCAUCCCUCUCUGGAAUUCAAAGCACGUGCUCAUGCAGAGGGAGCCUGCACAGGCAGAAACAUUGAAAUCUGAAUCAGAAGGCAGAUACAGGCCAUGGUAGAGCAGCAAUAGCUGUAAGUAUUUCUUGUCCAGAUAUUCAUAUGGGCAACCUUACGUGAACUAAGAAAGCUGUAA
rnacentral:lncRNA from 1 species